CUCUCUCUCUCUCUCUCUCUCUCUCUCGGUCGUCGCCGCUGCCCAUUGCCACUGCCGAGACCUGUUUUGCUUUCGCCGUCGCAUCCUCCGUUGUGGAGAAAAGCUCCGAAAGCUGUUGACGAAGAUCCCUACAAGAUCUCGCCGGAGGUCCUCCGCGCCAAGCACCGAAGAUGAAUUAAGGUACGAACUCUUCAUCAACUCAAUUUGCCACUUUAGGAAUGACAGGUUUAUGUGAGCCAAUCCACCACCAGGUUAGCAUGUGGGAGAACACAUUAAUGGUGAUUUUAGCCCGAACACAGGCAUGUCUGCAAUCGGACAGGUGGAUGCAAGUGUAGGCAACAAGGUAAGGAGAACCCAGAUCAGUGAAAGAAUGAGGAAACUAUAAUUCCAAGCAUGGACAAGGUAGGAAGGAUAACAACAUGAACACACUUCAUUCUAUGGUCAUAAAACUCAUGAUCUUUCUGUUUCUUGUAAUUGGCAGCAAACAAACACAAAAUACAUGUUAGAUUUGGUUGUUGAGUACAAAAAAAAUAAAAAAUAAAAAAUAAAAAAACAGUACAAGGUAUUGAAGAAGAAACCAAAUAUUGUCUUCAUUGGAACUCUUUUUUUCUUUUUUUUUCAUUGGAACUUAUCAUUGGAACUCUUUUUAUCUGUGCUUGAUCACUGUUUAUUUAUUUAUAUUGUUUUCAUACACUCAGCGAAAAUCGAGCAAACUGCAAGUGUUCAAUUAAUAUGAA